GGAAGGAAUGCGGCAGGCGGAAAAACUUGCGGAGAAAGAGCGCGGAGCGACCGAGGGGCGCUGGGUGCUUGUUCCUAAAGGGCGAGGCACCGGGGAGGCUGGGCGAUACUUGGGGUGGUGUUUUAUCCAGCGUGCUGUGGUUCUCCAGAACAGUCUCGUUCCAUUCAAAUGAAUACCUAUAUUUUAUCCAGCAUCUGUAUUCAAGGGAUACAUGAAAGAAUGCAGAUCUCUUAGGAUAUUUCAUCUGAAUCAGAACUGGGAUGCAGAUUCUACCUCUUGAUUCUUUACAGCUUUGAAACAGAAGUUAUUAAAACAUGCAAGAUGCCCUUGGGAGCCUUGGUCAGGAGGGCACAGCCUAGGUCAUGGGCAGGGAGCAGGAUACACACUGGAGCAAGCAGCACAGGCCUGUCAUCUCAGCUACUGAGGAUCAAGCGCGAGGAUCAAGCGUGAGGAUCACAGGUUCAGACCUGCCACAGUGACACAGUGAGCAACUUAGACUGUCUUAAAAUUUUAACAAAACAAACCGAUAUAAGUGGUGACAGGAAUGGGCUCAGUUGCGGAGUUCUAGUGCCUCGCAGCUGAGAGGCCUUGGACUCAAUCCCCAAUGUAUCAAAAUCAAUGAAAAUUAAGGUGAUACAGUA
rnacentral:lncRNA from 1 species